rnacentral:rRNA from 1 species
GAUGAACGCUAGCGAUAGGCUUAACACAUGCAAGUCGAGGGGCAGCACAAGGUAGCUUGCUAUCUGGGUGGCGACCGGCGCACGGGUGCGUAACGCGUAUGCAACUUGCCCUAUACAGGAGGAUAACCCGGCGAAAGACGGACUAAUACUGCGUAUGCUCACAACGUGGCAUCAAGUGGUGAGGAAAGAAAUUCGGUAUAGGAUAGGCAUGCGUCCCAUUAGCUUGUUGGUGAGGUAACGGCUCACCAAGGCAACGAUGGGUAGGGGAACUGAGAGGUUUAUCCCCCACACUGGUACUGAGACACGGACCCGACGCCUACGGGAGGCAGCAGUGAGGAAUAUUGGUCCAUGGGCGCGAGCCUGAACCAGCCAAGUCGUGUGAAGGAUGACUGUCUUAUGGAUUGUAAACUUCUUUUAUACGGGAAUAACAAGAGUCACGUGUGACUCCCUGCAUGAACCGUAUGAAUAAGCAUCGGCUAACUCCGU